GUCUACGGCCAUACCACCCUGAAUGCCCCAGAUCCUGUCUGAUCUCAGAAGUUAAGUAGGGUUGGGCCUGGUUAGUACUUGGAUGGGAAAGGAGAGUCUAUAGGCA
rfam:Gorilla gorilla gorilla genomic chromosome, chr5, whole genome shotgun sequence